rnacentral:rRNA from 2 species
CUGAUCCCUUCCCGAACUCAGUAGUGAAACGACGCAUCGCCGAUGGUAGUGUGGGGUCUCCCCAUGUGAGAGUAGGUCAUCGUCAAGC